rnacentral:rRNA from 1 species
UAAGGAAUAUUGGUCAAUGGGCGAGAGCCUGAACCAGCCAUGCCGCGUGAAGGAAGACGGCCUUAUGGGUUGUAAACUUCUUUUAAGAGGGAAAAAACUGGGCUACGUGUAGCUCAUUGCUUGUACCUUUUGAAUAAGCAUCGGCUAACUCCGUGCCAGCAGCCGCGGUAAUACGGAGGAUGCGAGCGUUAUCCGGAUUCAUUGGGUUUAAAGGGUGCGCAGGCGGAUCAAUAAGUCAGUGGUGAAAUCCCAUAGCUUAACUAUGGAACUGCCAUUGAUACUGUUGGACUAGAGUAUGGAUGACGUAGGCGGAAUGCGACAUGUAGCGGUGAAAUGCUUAGAUAUGUCGCAGAACACCGAUUGCGAAGGCAGCUUACGAAGCCAUAACUGACGCUCAUGC